GAUGAACGCUGGCGGCGUGCCUAAUACAUGCAAGUCGAGCGAACAGAUAAGGAGCUUGCUCCUUUGACGUUAGCGGCGGACGGGUGAGUAACACGUGGGUAACCUACCUAUAAGACUGGGAUAACUUCGGGAAACCGGAGCUAAUACCGGAUAAUAUAUCGAACCGCAUGGUUCAAUAGUGAAAGACGGUUUUGCUAUCACUUAUAGAUGGACCCGCGCCGCAUUAGCUAGUUGGUAAGGUAACGGCUUACCAAGGCAACGAUGCGUAGCCGACCUGAGAGGGUGAUCGGCCACACUGGAACUGAGACACGGUCCAGACUCCUACGGGAGGCAGCAGUAGGGAAUCUUCCGCAAUGGGCGAAAGCCUGACGGAGCAACGCCGCGUGAGUGAUGAAGGUCUUCGGAUCGUAAAACUCUGUUAUUAGGGAAGAACAAACGUGUAAGUAACUAUGCACGUCUUGACGGUACCUAAUCAGAAAGCCACGGCUAACUACGUG
rnacentral:rRNA from 1 species